rnacentral:rRNA from 1 species
UACGAAGGGGCUAGCGUUGCUCGGAAUCACUGGGCGUAAAGGGUGCGUAGGCGGGUCUUUAAGUCAGGGGUGAAAUCCUGGAGCUCAACUCCAGAACUGCCUUUGAUACUGAGGAUCUUGAGUUCGGGAGAGGUGAGUGGAACUGCGAGUGUAGAGGUGAAAUUCGUAGAUAUUCGCAAGAACACCAGUGGCGAAGGCGGCUCACUGGCCCGAUACUGACGCUGAGGCACGAAAGCGU